ensembl:snoRNA SNORD115 Small nucleolar RNA SNORD115
GGGUCAAUGAUGAGACCUCAUAUUGUCUCAAGGAGAUGUUGAAGACUUAAAAAUCAUAUUCAGUAGAAUUACGCUAAGGUCC